UUAAGCAUAUAACUAAGCGGAGGAAAAGAAACUAACGAGGAUUCCCCCAGUAACGGCGAGUGAAGCGGGAAGAGCUCACGUUGUGAAUCUGGCCCUCGGGCCCGAACUGUACUCUGGAGAGGCGAGGCCAGCCGCUGUCCGCGGCCAAGUCUGAUUGGAAAUGAGCAUCAAGGAGGGUGACAAUCCCGUCCAUGCCGCGGUAUCGACCAGCGCGCGUCCGGCCCGCUUUCGACGAGUCGAGUUGCUUGGGAUUGCAGCUCAAAGUGGGUGGUAAACUCCAUCCAAAGCUAAACACGGGGGGGAGACCGAUAGCGAACAAGUACCGUGAGGGAAAGAUGCAAAGAACUUUGAAAAGAGAGUUAAAGAGUGCCUGAAAUUGCUGGAAGGGAAGCGAAGGAAAGAAGUGUGCGGUUGCCUGGGCGCCAACCCCCACGUGCCUUUAUUGGUGUGGGGGUAGGCCGCCCGGCCGCGGUCAGGGGCAGCGCCGGGCUCGCGAGAGGAGCCGCGGGGGAUCGGUAGGCGUCCCGCUUCGGCGGAGCGCUGUCAGGCCCCCGCGGUCGUUCUGUGUCGCGAGCGUGGCCCCCGUCUGGCGGUCGCGGCUUUUCUUC
rnacentral:rRNA from 1 species